UACAGAGGUCUCAAGCGUUGUUUCGGAUUCAUUGGGCGUAAAGGUGCGUAGGUGGCGGGGCAAGUUUGGUGUGAAAUCCCGGGGCUCAACCCCGGAACUGCACUGAAUACUGCCUUGCUAGAGCACUGGAGAGGGAACUGGAAUUUACGGUGUAGCAGUGAAAUGCGUAGAUAUCGUAAGGAAGACCAGUGGCGAAGGGCGAGUUCCUGGACAGUUGCUGACACUGAGGCACGAAGGCUAGGGGAGCAAACGGG
rnacentral:rRNA from 1 species